AUUUAGAUAGUUUAAAAGAUAAAAUUUAAUAUUGAAGAUAUUAAGAUAAUUAUUAUGAUUUUUAAAUA
rnacentral:tRNA from 1 species